rnacentral:lncRNA from 1 species
CGCGGCAGCCCCCGCGGUCGAUCAAUCUCAGUCCCGCACUGCCGUCCCGCCCCGCCCUGUGCCCGCCAAUCCACGACGCCAUAAUCCCCCGCCGUGUCCCUCCCUUCCUCCCCAUUGGUUGUGACCGCACGUCAGCCCGACUCAGCCUGCCAAUCGCAGGACCCAGAGGGCCCUCUCCCCCGCCCGCUCAGUGUAAUUCGAGUUCCCUGUCCAUCGACUCCAAGUCCUCUCUCCUGCGCCGCAUGCUGCCUCGCGCUCCCUUUCCUUCCCCCUCUACCCCCUUCCGCGAUUUACUGUUUCCUCGCGCCCAACAGAAAUGGGCGACCGCAAGUCUUACUCUCGCCGGCGUUACAAAGAAAGGAAGGAGGAGACCUGAACAGUACAUCCGGAGAAUCCAGCAAAGCAUACUACGGCAUGAACGUGCAAGUGGACAGAAUUAAAACACAUGCCAGAAACACUAAUGGAUUCUAAACAAGAUGCAGUUUCAUUUCCUGAGCCUAUACGUGAUGUUUUUAACUGUUCUCCAGUUAAUAUGUCUCCAUUUCCAGAAAUCUAACAGGAGAAUCUCUGACUGCUUAACAGAUCACCUAAGCUUGCGAUUUGUGCAAUCCUUUCUAGAGUAAGGGCUCCCCGGCUGCUCCCCGGCCACUGUGUACCCAAAGCAGCGGCUGAAAUAGCCCGGAGUCCAACAGCUCAGCGUCAAGCAGCUCGUGGCAAACGCAGCCGCCGGUCUUGACUGCCAUCGCCCAAGGGGUUCCUCUGGGCUCUCCCGCGAGCCAACAGCCGACCUCUCUCCAGCCUAGUCUGGGAAACUCCAGCCAACCCAGGAUCCCAUUUUGUAGUCCCGGGCAGACCCGAAACCCCUGAAAGAACUCCACUCCAGAAGACGCCAGAACAAGUUCCCACGAAUUUCAUGGGCGCCCUUCACAUGAAAACCUCAGCUCCCCUAUCCUCAAGGAACGGGGAAGGGCGCCGGGGAGGGACUUCGG